AUUUGUAGGGGGAUAAAGUACCGUCACACAGGGAAUGAGAAUUGCAAAUCAACAAGUUAAACAAAUAUGAUAAUGCCAAUAUGCAUUUAUGAAAUUAUAUGAAUGUAUAUGUAUAUGACGAUUAUGCUGACAAGACGAUCACAAAGGAUACAAAGGUAUCGCAAAGAAUUCGCAUCAUCAGUACAGUCCCUGAUCAAUCCAC
rnacentral:lncRNA from 1 species